rnacentral:lncRNA from 1 species
CUGGUUUUUCACUAUAAUGAUGGAAGGCGAUUACAAAUAUGACUUAAUAUUUUAUGGAGGGAUUUUGCAUAUAUGAGUCUCAUCAACAACAAUAAAAUCAUAUAUAUAUUAUUAUUAUACAUCUACUAUGCAAAUAUAUAUAUAAUAGUGUGGACGAUAAUGGACUUUUACUAUCUAGUCUUCCCGAGCCAUAAGGAAGACUAGUUGGUCAAUUCCUAGGGGGUAUAGCAUUGAACAGUGUCAAUGCACCAUCUCCA